UGCGCCUUGCCAGCCCGCUCAGAAACUCAAAGGAAUUGACGGGGGCCCGCACAAGCGGCGGAGCAUGCGGAUUAAUUCGAUGCAACGCGAAGAACCUUACCAAGGCUUGACAUAUACCGGAAACUUCCAGAGAUGGUUGCCCCUUUUAGGUCGGUAUACAGGUGGUGCAUGGUUGUCGUCAGCUCGUGUCGUGAGAUGUUGGGUUAAGUCCCGCAACGAGCGCAACCCUCGUUCUAUGUUGCCAGCACGUAAUGGUGGGGACUCAUGGAAGACUGCCGGGGUCAACUCGGAGGAAGGUGGGGAUGACGUCAAAUCAUCAUGCCCCUUAUGUCUUGGGCUUCACGCAUGCUACAAUGGCCGGUACAAAGGGCUGCGAUACCGCAAGGUGGAGCGAAUCCCAAAAAACCGGUCUCAGUUCGGAUUGGGGUCUGCAACUCGACCCCAUGAAGUCGGAGUCGCUAGUAAUCGCAGAUCAGCAACGCUGCGGUGAAUACGUUCCCGGGCCUU
rnacentral:rRNA from 1 species